rnacentral:lncRNA from 1 species
CUCGGCGCUGAUGCUGAGCUUUGCCUCAAACUCCUCUUCUGAUCUUGCUCCAGGUCCCUGCAUGGGGAUGGAGCCGGGACCAGGCAGUGCCUGUCCUGCACUGGGCACAUGGAGCCCUGAGCACAGGGAGCUCCUGCAGGAAGGAGAUGGGGAGCUCAGCCCCAUCCCUGAACAGGGAUUUGCUGACUGCAUCCCACAGACACAGUGCUGGAUCCCCAUGGGGGUGAGGACACAGCUGAGGAAACCACUGUGCUUCCCCAGGAUGGCCUGAUUGCAGCACACCCAACAAAGGCACAGCUCUCGGUGAGGACCUGGGGGCAGCAUCCACCUUUCUGCACAUUGGGAUGUGAUGUUUGUCCACACUGCCAGGAUGGGCUCCGAUCAGAGGGUUGGUGCAGUGGUGGCACUGUCACCUCCUGGGGAUGGGAUUCUGGCAGCGUCCAUCGAGGGCUCACACCCUUUUCUCCCUUUAACAGGUGAUGUGGUCUGGAUGGCCAAGAAGGGCUGGAGGAGAGCCCAGGCAUUGUCUGAAAUGUGGGCAGGGUCUGGGCAUGUCCCCUUCCUGUCCCCAGGGUAAAUGCUUACUUACUCUGUCCCAUCACUGGACCCUGGGGGUCCAGAGCUGCUACCACUGAGCCCGAGGCACCGAGGGACAAGGCCUGCAGCAAAAGGAGGUGAAAAGGAAAAACAACAAGUAUAUUAAAGGUGUUGAAAGCCUACAGCAGAAUCUCAGCCGGUCUCUCUUGUGUUGCUGAUGUUGGAGUGGAAUUUUCC